UACGUAGGUGGCAAGCGUUGUCCGGAUUUAUUGGGCGUAAAGCGCGUGUAGGCGGCCAGAAAAGUCCGCUGUGAAAACUCGAGGCUCAACUUCGAGCUGUCGGUGGAAACUGUCUGGCUAGAGUCCGGAAGAGGAGAAUGGAAUUCCUGGUGUAGCGGUGAAAUGCGCAGAUAUCAGGAAGAACACCCGUGGCGAAGGCGGUUCUCUGGGACGGUACUGACGCUGAGACGCGAAAGCGUGGGGAGCGAACAGG
rnacentral:rRNA from 1 species